ACGGAAGGCAGCAGUGAGGAAUAUUGGUCAAUGGGCGAGAGCCUGAACCAGCCAAGUCGCGUGAAGGAUGAAGGUUCUAUGGAUUGUAAACUUCUUUUGUUCGAGGGUAAAGUGAGGGAUGCGUCUCUUGUUGCAAGUAUCGAACGAAUAAGCAUCGGCUAACUCCGUGCCAGCAGCCGCGGUAAUACGGAGGAUGCGAGCGUUAUCCGGAUUUAUUGGGUUUAAAGGGUGCGUAGGCGGGAUGUUAAGUCAGCGGUGAAAGCGUGUAGCUCAACUAUACCAAGCCGUUGAAACUGGCGUUCUUGAGUGUAAACGAGGUAGGCGGAAUGUGACGUGUAGCGGUGAAAUGCUUAGAUAUGUCACAGAACCCCGAUUGCGAAGGCAGCUUACCAGCAUACAACUGACGCUGAGGCACGAAAGUGCGGGGAUCAAACAGGAUUAGAUACCCUGGUA
rnacentral:rRNA from 1 species